CUCCGGGGAUCCCCUAGUACGGCGAGUGAGCGGGAAGAGCUCAAAUUUGAAAUCUAGUAGCCUUCGGCUGCUCGAGUUGUAAUCUAGAGAAGUGUUUUCCGUGCCGGCCCAUGUACAAGUCCCUUGGAACAGGGCGUCAUAGAGGGUGAGAAUCCCGUCCUUGACAUGGACCCCCGGUGCUCUGUGAUACACUUUCAACGAGUCGAGUUGUUUGGGAAUGCAGCUCAAAAUGGGUGGUGAAUUCCAUCUAAAGCUAAAUAUUGGCGAGAGACCGAUAGCGAACAAGUACCGUGAGGGAAAGAUGAAAAGCACUUUGGAAAGAGAGUUAAACAGUACGUGAAAUUGUUGAAAGGGAAACGAUUGAAGUCAGUCAUGCUCUUUGGUAUUUAUAUCAUUGAGUGGGGUCAACAUCAGUUUUGAGCGAUGGAUAAAGGCACUAGGAAGGUAGCACUCUCGGGUGAACUUAUAGCCUAGCGUCAUAUACAUUGUUUGGGACUGAGGAACGCAGCAUGCCUUUAUGGCCGGGAUUCGUCCACGUACAUGCUUAGGAUGUUGACAUAAUGGCUUUAAACGACCCGUCUUGACCACGGGACCAGG
rnacentral:rRNA from 1 species